AAGACCUUGCGCUUUUGGAGCGGCCGAUGUCUGAUUAGCUAGUUGGUAGGGUAAUGGCCUACCAAAGCUUCGAUCAGUAGCUGGUCUGAGAGGACGACCAGCCACACUGGGACUGAGACACGGCCCAGACUCCUACGGGAGGCAGCAGUGGGGAAUUUUGGACAAUGGGCGCAAGCCUGAUCCAGCCAUGCCGCGUGAGUGAAGAAGGCCUUCGGGUUGUAAAGCUCUUUCAGCCGGGAAGAAAAGGCUACGACGAAUAAUCGUAGCUCAUGACGGUACCGGAAGAAGAAGCACCGGCUAACUACGUGCCAGCAGCCGCGGUAAUACGUAGGGUGCGAGCGUUAAUCGGAAUUACUGGGCGUAAAGCGUGCGCAGGUGGUUUUGUAAGUCAGAUGUGAAAGCCCCGGGCUCAACCUGGGAACU
rnacentral:rRNA from 1 species